AUGAAGUUCUGGCGGGUUCGGAUUCAGAGAAACCGAACCCGCUCAUCUCUAGUUGGCAUUCCAUUGUUCUGCAAGCUGUAGUGGACCACAAAUACUGUUUCACAGAUGUCUUCAUAGGGUGGCCCGGACGGUCACAUGAUGCAAGGGUUCUCGCCAACUCCGAUCUUUACAGUAUUGCUGAGGACAAGCUUGGUGGAUGGCUUUUCCCUCGAGAGAAAUUGGUGAUCGUACAUGGUGUGGACAUCCCAGUCCACCUCAUUGGUGAUGCAGCAUACCCAUUACAGCGCUGGCUAAUGAAGGGCUACACCCAGCAUGUUCACUUAUCCCCCGAACAGACAUCAUAUACCCAUGCCCUAAGUUCGGCCCGUAUGGCAGUGGAGAAUGCGUUUGGGCGUUUAAAAGGACGCUGGCGCUGCCUCAUGAAGAAUAAUGAUGUGGACUUGAAAAUAAUGCCAGAUAUAGUAGCAGCCUGCUGCAUUCUCCAUAACAUAUGUGAGAUUCAAAAGGAAAACUUUCUCCCCGAGUGGAAUGUACAUGAUCAUGGGGCGGGGGUCACUGUACAUGAUGCACCAGGCUUGGUGGGGGGGCAUGACGCUGCCAGCGAGUGCAUAAGGGCCACCAUUGCAUCUAAUCUUCAAACAAUGUUGCAGUAGAGAAGACAGACAAGUUUUUGUGUGCAAACAAUUUUUGUUUAUUUUGUUUUUCAGUUAUAAAAAUUUGGUUCAAAAGUUAUGUUAUUAUAUGUUUUCUUUUAAACAGUUGGCACACAUUUUCUGAGGUAACAAUAUAAAAUAUUUAAGUGCAAACAUGACACUGUAAAAUUCCACAUAACGCAAGGGGUCUUCAACAUGUGUCCCUCCAGCUGUUGUGGAACAACAUGUACCAGCAUGUGUUGCUAUGUAUUUCCACAACAGCUAGAGGGCCACAUGGUGAAGACACCUGCCCUGAGGUAACAGUAUAAAAGAGUAAAGUGCAAACAGGGCACUCUGUAAAAAAAAAAAAAAAAAAAACCCUAAUGUUUGGUUUGGCAGGUAUCGGGGUACCCCCAAUAUGUGGAUCACACUGCCGCACAUUUUCUGAGGUAACCAUAUAAAAGGCAGCCCCAAUAUCUGGAUCCCACUGCCCAUUUUCUGAGGUAACAAUAUAAAAGUUUAAAGUGCCAACAGGGCACUCUGUAAAAUCAAAAUAAUGUUUGGAUUUGAAGGUAUCAGGGUUGAGGAUACAGUGCAAACGGAACCUUAAAACACAAAAAUUGUUUUAUCACCCGCUGCUCUAAAGCAGUUGUCUAUUUACCCGAAAUUCUGAGGAUUGCGGGAUUUGUGUUGGGGAUUUGAGGGAGGCUCAUAGUUGUAUGGACCAUAUGGGUGCUGUGGGUAGGCUGUGUCUUGCUGUGUUUGUGUGGUAUUCCCUAUGGUACGUGCAAACGUGCGUUCAAAAAAUGUCAUCUGCCUAUCAUGCAUGGUCAUUAACUGCCUCAUAAAAGUUUGAUGCAUUUCUUUUUCUGACGCAAGAAAUCUCUCAAGCCGUGCAUCUUCCUGGGCAUUGAGCUCACUAUCCGCCUCACGCAGGUGAUCCACGAUAAUAGACUUCAUUGCUCUGACCGUUUGUUCUGUUUUGUUCAGUUUCUUUUUCCGCUGUGGAACUUUGUAGACUGAAGGAGAUGAAACAGAAUGUAAGCAACAAUAUAAAAAUAGCAGUGUUUGUGGCCUUCUCCCACCUGCACACUAGCUAUACUCUGCAACAUUACCAUGAUUCUGUUAACAAAUAGCAGUGGUAGCAUAUACGUGUUUGUGGCCUUCUCCCACCUGCACACUAGCUAUACUCUGCAACAUUACCAUGCCUUUACAUAGAUUUUGUAUAGGGACUGCUGCAACUGUAUUUGUAAUGGUAAUACUUACUAUUUGAGCGCAAAGUCGUGGUCUUGGGGGGUUGCGACGUCACCGCCUGAGACUGUGGUACGUCCUCAAUAGUGGCACUGAUGACAUCAUUGACGGUCGAGUCUUCGAAACUGCUGUCCGAUAUAAGCAGCGGGGAUGGUGAGUUGCAUAGUGUGCUGGGUAGGCUGUGCUGUGUUUCGUCACAGUCCACGUCGACUGACAUCUGGCGACUGGCAGAGCUGGAUGACGAUAGUGCUAUGGGAUUUGUUAUCGCAGUUUUGCCGAAGACACUAUAGCAUAGGUCAUAAUAUGCCCAUUCCAUACGCCCAGCACCACUUUUCUUGCGGUUAUGGUCGUGUACUUUGGUGAAUUGUCUGCGUAGUGCCUUCAAUUUGUUAACGACUUGUUGCUGGUUUUUUUGGAUGCCCCUUUCUGCCAGCAUAAGGGAUAAGUUCUUGUAGACGAUAGCAUUCUUAACUGUUCCAGUCACCUGCCUUCUAAUUUCUUCCUCUCCCCGAAUAUUAAGCAGCUCUUUGAUCUCUGUGUCUGACCAGGUAUGGGUAGCCAUGUUGCUGUGCUGGAGCUUCUGCUGCUGUAUAUUGUCUGUUUGUUUGGAAGCUGCUGCAAUAAAAAUAUCUGUAUGUACCCAGCGUGACUUCAGAGUGUUUUGUUUGCAAGCUGCCUCAAUGCCUGCAUG